AUUCUCCUGUCUUCAAAUUGCUGUAACGCAGAGCCGUGACACAGAUCCAUAGCACUUGGCUGUAAUGCUAGCUGCCUUACUUUCCUCCAGCAAUAGCUCAUCGUCACUAUUCUUGAAUGAAGUCAUUUGUGAAAUACAAAGCUGAUUAUCAAAAGGACUGCGCUGACUGAAGGGAGACUUGGACUUGGGAACCAACCCCUUCACCUUUCCCACGUACGCUCAUCUAAGGCAGCUCUGUGAAAUUCCAAAAAUCUAAGAGUGGAAAAGUUUAGAAAGUAAGCUGCAAGUGGAUAUCACCGAAUGAAAAGAAUAAGCUAAAUUCGCCCCAGAACCAGAACACAUAAACCAUCAGGAUUUA